GAAAAUUUUCGCAAACAACAAAAAUGGGUAAAAGGCAGAAUAACAUAAAUCAGCCGUGGUCGAGUGGUUUGUGUGACAUCAAGGCCUGAGUUGGGC